GACGAACGCUGGCGGCGCGCCUAACACAUGCAAGUCGAACGGAGCUGAGAGAAGCUUGCUUUUCUUAGCUUAGUGGCGAACGGGUGAGUAACGCGUGAGUAACCUGCCCUGGAGUGGGGGACAACAGUUGGAAACGACUGCUAAUACCGCAUAAGCCCACGAUCCGGCAUCGGAUUGAGGGAAAAGGAUUUAUUCGCUUCAGGAUGGACUCGCGUCCAAUUAGCUAGUUGGUGAGGUAACGGCCCACCAAGGCGACGAUUGGUAGCCGGACUGAGAGGUUGAACGGCCACAGUGGGACUGAGACACGGCCCAGACUCCUACGGGAGGCAGCAGUGGGGGAUAUUGCACAAUGGGGGAAACACUGAUGCAGCGACGCCGCGUGGAGGAAGAAGGUUUUCGGAUUGUAAACUCCUGUCGUUAGGGACGAUAAUGACGGUACCUAACAAGAAAGCACCGGCUAACUACGUG
rnacentral:rRNA from 1 species